UGUGCUCCAUCUCAACUGCUAACUUUCACCUCUCAAAACGACAGAUAGUGAAACUCUCUGCACUUUAAACCUUAAGAUUCAUACUCUGUAUCAUGAACAUAUAAAAAAAACAAGUUCAAAAUUUGAAAAAUUCCUAAAUCAGUAGCUAACCCCUGAUUCUGAUCUGAUCUGGUCAAAACUCAGGCUUACAACUAACUAACAAUAAAUUACUAAACAAAGGUUAUAGCUGUCAACCAUUCAAAGUGUAUGAGUUUGAAGUCCAGUUGAUUCUACCGCUUUCUGGGUGGCCGGUGUGCUUCCUUUGCAAAGCAAGGUGAAAAUUGGGGGUUUACGAUGAAUAUAGUUUGGCUCUUGGUGUUGAUGGUUUUAUAUAAUGGAUUUUCUAGCGGACUUGGUACUAAUGUUACUGCAAGACCUGACAUUGUGAACAUUGGUGCUGUUUUCCCUUUCGAUUCUGUCAUUGGCGAAAUUGCAAAACUUGCAAUAUCCAUUGCAGUUGAAGAUGUUAAUUCUGAUCCAAAACUCCUCAAUGGAACAAAACUGAUACUUAAGAUUUAGAACAUCAAAUCUAGUGACUUUCUGGGAAUCGUUGAGCAGGCUUUGCAGUUCAUGGAGAAUGACAUAGUAGCCAUACUUGGCCCCCAAUUCUCAGCUACUGUUCGUGUGGUCUCACACAUUGCAAAUGAGCUACACGUCCCUUUAUUAUCAUUUGCAGCAACAGACCCCACACCGUCUCCAGUUCAGUUCCCUUUCUUGGUUCGGACAGCACGAAGUGAUCUCUUUCAGAUGACUGCAGUAGCAGACCUUGUUGCUUUCUAUGAGUGGAGAGAGGUCAUAGCAAUUUACAUAGAUGAUGAUUUUGGGAGAAAUGCCAUUGCUGCUUUAGGGGAUAAGCUAGCUGAGAAAUGAUGCAAAGUUUCAUACAAAGUGCCUCUGAACCCCAAAGCAACAAAAGAUGAUAUUACCAAAGCACUGAUUCGCACAUCUUCGAUGGAGUCUAGGAUUCUCAUCGUACAUAUUUAUACCAAUUGGGGUCUUCAAGUGUUUAGCGAAGCAUAAAACCUCAUGAUGAUGGGGAGUGGAUAUGUAUGGAUUGCUACUGAUUGGUUGCCUACCACAUUAGACACAGAUCCUUCCCUACCAACAAAGGACAUUCAAGGGGUUCUUACAUUGCGCAUGUACACACCAGAAUCGGAACUCAAAACAAAAUUUAAAUCGCAGUGGAGCAAUUUGACAAGAGUGAGAAGAGUUAAUGGCUCUUCUUUCGGGCUAAAUACGUAUGGUCUAUAUGCCUAUGAUUCUGUAUGGCUUCUUGCUAGUGCCAUUGAUUCAUUUUUCGUUCGUGGGGGAAAUGUCUCAUUCUCCAAUGACUCAAACUUAAGUGAUUUACAAGGAGGAAGGUUGAAUCUUGAUGCUUUGAAAUUUUUUAAUGGUGGCAGCCAGUUGCUCCAAAGCAUUGUAAAGGUUGAUACAACGGGUGUAACUGGGCCAAUUAAGUUCAACGCAGAUCGGGACUUGAUUAAUCCUGCAUUUGAAGUCAUCAAUGUGAUUGGCACAGGGACUAGGACUAUUGGUUAUUGGUCCAAUUCUUCUGGCCUAUCAGUUGACCCUCCAGAAAAGCCCCAAAAUAAGUUGCAGUCUAAUGGUUCCAGUACCAGUAUUCAGCUACUAUACAGCGUUAUCUGGCCUGGACAGACAACUCAGAAGCCUCGUGGCUGGGUUUUCCCUGACAAUGGAAAAAAGCUCAGAAUUGGUGUUCCACGUUGAGUUAGCUACCGCGAGUUUCUGAAUGUAGAAGGCACUGAUAUCACUGGUUAUUGUAUUGAGGUCUUCCAAGCUGCCUUUAACAAGUUACAAUAUGGAGUGGCAUAUGAGUUUGUCCCAUUUGGAGAUGAGAAAAGAAACCAAGAACCCAAUGAAAUUCUGCGCAGUAUGCAAAAUGGUGAGCUUGACGGUGUGGUAGGAGACAUUACCAUUACCACUAGCAGAACAAAGAUGGUGGAUUUUACACAGCCAUAUAUCGAGUCUGGACUUGUUGUAGUUGCUCCAAUAAGGAAAUUGAACUCUAGUGCCUGGGCUUUUCUGAGACCUUUUACCCCAAUAAUGUGGACUGUCACAGGGUCUUUUCUUCCUAGCUGUGGGAGCAGUUGUUUGGAUUUUGGAGCGUAGAACAAAUGUGGAUUUCCGGGGCCCUCCAAGAAAACAAUGUGUCACAAUUCUAUGGUUUAGCUUUUCAACUCUGUUCUUUUCCCAGAGAGAAGAAACUGGCAGCUCUCUUGGUCACUUUGUGCUCAUAAUAUGGCUAUUUGUAGUUCUAAUAAUCAACUCAAGCUACAUUGCAAGCCUGACAUCAAUCCUCACAGUGAAGCAGCUUUCUUCUCCCAUUAAAGGGAUUGAAAGUCUAGUAACAGGCAAUGCUGUGGUAGGUGACAUCAAGAAUCAGCACAAGCCGAACAAAAAUGAUGGAUUUUAAUUUUACACAACCAUGUGUUUUAAUAGUUGUUCAACAUAUAUAUAUUACACAGAGAGAAAACGGUCAACAAGCACUAGCAUAAUUGAGAUUUACGCAACAGGUGCAGAUCACGGUGUUGGAUCACUGUGUUGACCUGUAGUAGGCUGCUUGGUGGACUUGUUAGGCCACGUUAUUAACAUGCCAUGCCCUUAAUUGCAUUGUGGAAUGUUAAUAUAAUAAUGCAUAUGACAUAGUGUUACGAGUUCAUACAAAUUAUAACACGUGCACGGAUUAUAAUUUGUGAGAUAAGGAGGAUUGAUUUGAAGUCUGCGGAAAUACGUGGGUUUCUUGAAAUGACAGAAACCCCUCUCGCUCACCCAAUGGAACUUGGUUGUUGUCGCUUGAUAUUUUUCUGCAUCCAUGAUCAUUUAUCAAUGUCCCUUCCAAAGUCACCUCCUGUCCUCCAAUUAGUUUCAUGGUUAGUCCACUUUAGCAUAUCCUCCCUCUCUUCCUAUAUCGAGUAAUUCUUCCCUAUUAACGGUUGUAUAUUUAUAUAUAAUUCUAUAUUUUGUCUCAUUUACAUUAUUUGACGAGAGAGACACAUAGUUGUAUACUAUUUAUGGUGAUUAAAAGAGAAAAUUAUCAUGAAUUGCGUUAUGUUUCUCUUUAUAUUUUAAUUCAGAGU